AGCGGCGGACGGGUGAGUAACACGUGGGUAACCUACCUAUAAGACUGGGAUAACUCCGGGAAACCGGGGCUAAUACCGGAUAACACAUGAAACCGCAUGGUUUCAUGAUGAAAGACGGUUUUGCUGUCACUUAUAGAUGGACCCGCGGCGUAUUAGCUAGUUGGUAAGGUAACGGCUUACCAAGGCAACGAUACGUAGCCGACCUGAGAGGGUGAUCGGCCACACUGGAACUGAGACACGGUCCAGACUCCUACGGGAGGCAGCAGC
rnacentral:rRNA from 1 species